AUGGGUAUCUCCUCUGGAAAAUGUGGAGAUACCUGGUCACACACUGAUACCCUCUUCUUGACUAGGGUCUACCUGCAGAAUGCAGCUGCAGCAGAUACUAACCGGGGUCCUAUCAGUGCUCAGGACAGAGGAACUGCCGCUCUAGGUCCUGGUGGCCCUGGGAUGGGGAACAGCGGUGGCUUCUGUGGAGGUUUCGGCAGUGGCAUCCGGGGCCUGGGUCGCAGAGCUCACGGAGGCAAGGCCGAGGAUAAGGAGUGGAUGCCCGUCACCAAGCUGAGCCCCUUGGUCAAGGACAUGAAGAUCAAGUCCCUCGAGAGUAUCUCUCUCUUCUCCCUGCCCAUUAAGGAAUCUGAGAUCAUUGACUUUUUCCUGGGGGCCUCUCUCAAGGACGAAGUUUUGAAGAUUAUACCGCUGCAGAAGCAGACCCGUGCUGGCCAGUGCACCAGGUUCAAGGCUUUUGUUGCUAUCGGGGACUACAAUGGCCACGUUGGUCUGGGUGUUAAGUGCUCCAAGGAGGUGGCCACCGCCAUCCGUGGGGCCAUCAUCCUGGCCAAGCUCUCCAUUGUCCCCGUGCACAGAGGCUACUGGGGGAACAAGAUCGGCAAGCCCCACACCGUCCCUUGCAAGGUGACAGGCCGCUGCGGCUCUGUGCUGGUGUGCCUCAUCCCUGCACCCAGGGGCACUGGUGUCGUCUCAGCGCCUGUGCCCGAGAAGCUGCUCAUGAUGGCUGGUAUCGAUGACUGCUACACCUCAGCCCAGAGCUGCACUACUACCCUAGGCAACUUCGCCAAGGCCACCUUUGAUGCCAUCUUUAAGACCUACAGCUACCUGACCCCUGACCUCUGGAAGAAGACUGUAUUUACCAAGUCUCCCUAUCAGGAAUUCACUGAACACCUCGUCAAGACCCACAGCAGUCUCCGUGCAGCGGACCCAGGCUCCACCUGUGGCUACAACAUAG